rnacentral:lncRNA from 14 species
AUGGAUGGCUUUUGGUGCCUGAUGCUUGCCUUCAUCCUUCAGCAAGAGGUGCACAGCACCAGUGAGGUGGAGAUGAUCGGCACCGUGGGCAGCUCCAUCACCUUCCAGCUGCAGAGCCUGGAGGGAGCAGCUGCAGCCUGGAGCUUCCACAACGAUGUGGUGGUGACCGUGAGGUUCGGUGACCCUCCAGAGCCCACCUUCUUUGAUGACAGCUUCAGGCCCCACUUGGCCUUCCCCAGCAACGGCAGCGCGCUCAGCAUCUCCCAGCUGACACUGGAGGAUGCUGGUACCUACACGGCCAAGAGCGCCGGGGGGAAAACCACCUUCACCCUGCACGUCUAUGGGGAGCUGGAAGCACCCACAGUGACCUGUGCUGCUCACAACUGCUCUGCUGGCAUCUGCCUCUAUGCCCUGCACUGCACCGCGUCCGGUGCCGGCACCGGCAACGUGUCCUACACCUGGAGCAUGGGGAGCCUGCGGAGAGCCGGACCCACGGUGCUGGUGGAGGAGGCAGCACUGGAGGAGCUGCUCCUCACAUGCACAGCCCAGAACCCAGUCAGCAGCCGCAAUGUCAGCAUCAGCUCAGCCGCUGCCCUCUGCGCAGGCUCCCCCUUCAGCAGGAGGGCUGUGAUUGUGGCCGCAGCAGUGGCCGGAUCUGCAGUGCUGUUGGCAUCAGUUAUCCUCAUCGUCUGCUGUAAACCCAAAGGCUGGAGGAUCCUCCAUCUGCCUGCAGAUGAGGCUGUGAGCUCAGAGGCCAGAGCAGAGUACACCACAGUGUAUGCCCAGGUUGGCCCCUUCCAGCAGCCUUUUCCCCAGGUCUGCCUGCAAGAUGGCUCCAAGACAACACCGACCCCUGGGGCUGAGACCUCCAAACCCACCCGUUCUGUGAUGCCGGGUACAGCCCAGACGGAUGAUGAGAAGAUGGGUCAGGGCCAGCCAGGCUGCUGGGAGCAGGAGAAACCCUCUACACAUUGAUCAACCGGUGGGAGCAACAAUCCAGUUUGCUCUGAGUGUGGUGCUCCUCCCAUUGCUACCCUCCCUGGAGCAGAGAAGGAUCAUGGAAUCAUGGAAUCAUGGAAUCAACUGGGUUGGAAGAGACCUUUAAGACCAUUAAACCAAACCAUUCCCAGCACUGCUGAGGCCAUCACUGCCCCAUGGCACUGAGGGGGUGUGAGCACUNNNNNNNNNNNNNNNNNNNNGAAUCCAAAGAAUGUAGCCCCCACGGAUUGAGAUAAGAACGGUUUAAUUGCUAAGGCAUAACACAAAACCCCUACUGCCAUUUACUACUACAAAUAAUAAUGAUACAGCAAACAGCAAGUGAAAAGAAUACAACACCCCACCAGCCACCGACCCAUAACUCACUCCACCCUGCCCGGCCGAGCACCAUGUGCUCCCUCCUCCAUUUUUCUCCAGAGCUCUACCCUCCAGCCUUCCCUUUCCCAGUAUGCAUCCUGGGCAUCACGUGCUAUGGUAUGGAAUACCUCAUUGACUAGCCUGGGUCAGGUGUCCUGUCUCUCCUUCCUCCCGGACUCCCCUCCCACCUGGCUGGAAAAAACCUUGAACAAAAAACACCCUCAAAACAUGCUCAAACCAUGACAGUACCCUAACCCUAAUGUCGGAAAGUGGGUACCCUAACCCUAAUGUCGGAAAGUGGGUACCCUAACCCUAAUGUCAGGAAGGCUGUACCCUAAUCCUAAUGUGAAGUGAGAAGUGAAGUGGGAAGUGAAGUGGGAAGUGAAGUGGGAAGUGAAGUGGGAAGUGAAGUGGGAAGUGAAGUGGGAAGUGAAGUGGGAAGUGAAGUGGGAAGUGAAGUGGGAAGUGAAGUGGGAAGUGAAGUGGGAAGUGAAGUGGGAAGUGAAGUGGGAAGUGAAGUGGGAAGUGAAGUGGGAAGUGAAGUUGUUUCUCUCAGGGAAUCGAGCAAUUGAUUGAUCACAGGCAUUUUAAUUCACUCUAUUUUAGUUACAAUUCAAUCAAA